GUGCUCGCUUCGGCAGCACAUAUACUAAAAUUGUAACAAUACAGAGAAGAUUAGCAAAAAUGUUUGUGCAAUGUUUACUACGUUGAUAGGAAGCAUAUAUUUCUUUU